UGGGUGUAAGAGUGAGACUCCUCAAAAAAAAAAAAAAAAAAAAAGAAUACCUGGCCGAUCAGUGGCAGCAUUCGAUUCUCAUAGGAGCCCAAACCCUAUUGUGAACUUUGCAUGUGAGGGAUCUGGACUGCACACUCCUAGGAGAAUCUAAUUCCUGAUGAUCUGUUGCUGUCUCCCAUCACCCCCAGACGGGACCAUCUAGUUGCAGGAAAACAAAUCCUGCCCUCGACUGCUGGUGAGUCGUGGGGUCCUGGCAUUUGUCUUUGGUUGGUGAGACAGGGCUGUGUUCGGGUAUCUUAGGAGAGCUGUGGGUAGGUGUUUGCAUGGAGCGUAGGUGGUCUCCCUCUGUCGCCCAGGCUGGAGUGCAGUGGCGCAGCACGAUCUCGGCUCACGCAA
rnacentral:lncRNA from 1 species